GCCUUCGUGGGGAAGUGGUCAGCACACUCGGUCCGUAAUCGAGAGGUCCCAGGUUCGACUCUCGGCCAGGGCA
rnacentral:tRNA from 1 species